rnacentral:tmRNA from 1 species
GGGGGUGAACAGGGUUCGACGGGAGUGGUAGAUGUAAUGACAGCAGGUCGGAGUUGGUCGAUGGCUCCGUAAAAAUCGACCGAAAAAUAAACAACGAUAAUAUCGUUCCUAUGCAGAACUUCAAUCCUUGUAUGAGUUUUGGAGCAAUGCCAAUAGCUGCUUAAUGUAGCUUCGUUUUACUUUAGACACCUGCUAUAGAGAUAAAACGACAAGAGCAGGUUAGUUUUAAGCGGCUUGUGCCGUCAGUUUAAAAUAAAAUCAAAACGGCGCUGGUUUAUAGCGUAAUCCCGUCUGGAGACGGCGUUAUAAAUGAGAAAAAUCUUCCAGACUAAACCUGUAGCGGUCUUACUGAAACAUUUUCGGACGCGGGUUCAAUUCCCGCCACCUCCAUUA